ACUGCUCAGUAACACGUGGCUAAUCUGCCCUUGGGACUAGAACAACCCCGGGAAACUGGGGCUAAAUCUAGAUAGGUGAAGAACUCUGGAAUGAGUCUUUGCCUAAAUAGGUUCACGUUAUCCUCGUGAACUUGCCCAAGGAUGAGGCCGCGACCGAUCAGGUUGUUGGCGAGGUAAUGGCUCACCAAGCCUUUUACCGGUGCGGGCCGUGGGAGCGGGAGCCCGGAGAUGGGUACUGAGACAAGGACCCAGGCCCUACGGGGCGCAGCAGUCGCGAAACCUUUGCAAUACACGAAAGUGUGACAGGGCUAUCCCGAGUGCCAUCCGCUGAGGAAGGCUUUUACCCAGUCUAGAAAGCUGGGGGAAUAAGGAGAGGGCAAGUCUGGUGUCAGCCGCCGCGGUAAUACCAGCUCUCCGAGUGGUGUGGAUGUUUAUUGGGCCUAAAGCAUCCGUAGCUGGCUAGGUAAGUCCCUUGUUAAAUCCACCGAAUUAAUCGUUGGAUCGCGGGGGAUACUGCUUGGCUAGGGGACGAGAGAGGCAGACGGUAUUUUCGGGGUAGGGGUGAAAUCCUAUAAUCCCGGGAAGACCACCAGUGGCGAAGGCUGUCUGCUAGAACGCGCCCGACGGUGAGGGAUGAAAGCUGGGGGAGCGAACCGGAUUAGAUACCCGGGUAGUCCCAGCUGUAAACGAUGCAGACUAGGUGUUUGGACAGCCACGUGCCGUUCUAGUGCCGCAGGGAAGCUGUCAAGUCUGCCGCCUGGGGAGUACGAUCGCAAGAUUGAAACUUAAAGGAAUUGGCGGGGGAGCAC
rnacentral:rRNA from 1 species